rnacentral:rRNA from 1 species
AUUGAACGCUGGCGGCAGGCCUAACACAUGCCAGUCGAGCGGAUGAAGGGAGCUUGCUCCUGGAUUCAGCGGCGGACGGGUGAGUAAUGCCUAGGAAUCUGCCUGGUAGUGGGGGAUAACGUCCGGAAACGGGCGCUAAUACCGCAUACGUCCUGAGGGAGAAAGUGGGGGAUCUUCGGACCUCACGCUAUCAGAUGAGCCUAGGUCGGAUUAGCUAGUUGGUGGGGUAAAGGCCUACCAAGGCGACGAUCCGUAACUGGUCUGAGAGGAUGAUCAGUCACACUGGAACUGAGACACGGUCCAGACUCGUACGGGAGGCAGCAGUGGGGAAUAUUGGACAAUGGGCGAAAGCCUGAUCCAGCCAUGCCACGUGUGUGAAGAAGGUCUUCGGAUUGUAAAGCACUUUAAGUUGGGAGGAAGGGCAGUAAGUUAAUACCUUGCUGUUUUGACGUUACCAACAGAAUAAGCACCGGCUAACUUCGUG